rnacentral:tRNA from 1 species
AGGGGUAUAGCUCAGUGAUAGAGUGCCUGCUUAUCCCGCCUGAGGUCCUGGGUUCAAUCCCCAGUACCUCCA